GGAACUCGGAAGCCAGCAACAUCCUGGAAGAAACCGACAGCCUGAAUCUCAAAGAAGCCAGGUAAAUUGGACACAAAGAAACACGUGGUAAUAGCACUUCCUCGCAAAAAAUUGAAAAGGGAAAGGAAUAUGAUGAAGGAACCAGACAUUCAUGCCUUGUUGUUAGUGGAUGUUCAAGUUUUCCUCCAGUCUGUUGGGCUAGAGGAAAGGGAUUAUUUACUGAACUACAGGUCUAAAGAAAUUGAGAAUCUGCCUAAAAGAUUACUGCACCACACCAAGUGAUGUGGAACAACAUCCAUAGUGCAUGGGUUGCAGAAGAGGUAGGCCUAAUCAGGAUUGGGAGCGUCAUAACAAAGCUUUGUUUGUAUCGGAAACAAUACACUGGAUGCAUACCUCAUUAGUGGAGCUGUACAAGUGGGGUGAUGACAGAGGCAUUGAAAAAUUCCUGCAUUAUUUUUAGAUCGAUCAGUACUGUCAUGGGAUCGAAAAAUUUUACUUCAAUAUCCGAAAGUCGUAGGAAAAGAAUGGUAAAAUAAUUAACGUUUCACCAUAGGAAAAUCCACAUCCAUCCACGCCGCUGGAUAAGACAUCCAUUGUGCCUUUACGUGCUACGUAUCGUGUUUUUGUCUGUGGAAAGCGACAUCUUCCUACGUAAGCCAAACCUGUUAUGGAAAGUCCUAACAACUAUUGAAUUGAAAAUUAUAUUUCUAUGUUGAAUAUUCAUGUGCUCGUUUUUUCUUUUUCAUGACAUAGCACAAUCUAGUGGGAAUUGCUGAUCUCACCAAUUUAUGAAGUCGUCAAUUGGACAAAGUCAUCAUUCUUUUUUACCUAAUUUUUAUUCUUAAAACCACGCUUCACAUCGUAAUGUGGACACGGAAUAAUACCUCCUCCCGCACAGUAGUUUUUUUCCAAUUAAAACGGUCAUUUGAUUUUAACCAAUUCAUCAGCUACAUUUUUUUGGGGCAACAAUACUUUUUUGUGCCCAUGGCACAACAUUUGCCGUCUCCACAACGGUCGGAUGUAACGGUUUUGUAAACCUUCGAAUUGCAGUAUCCUUGGCAGAAAGGUGCCGAUCCAUUCCAAAAGCACCCGGGCUGUCGUUCCUUAGCAUCAACUUCCGUUCGAAUUGUUUUACCAGCCGAGAUUUUAGGAUUUUUCACCUUUCAAAAUUUUGAAGUGCAACAUGUAAAGUAACAAAGAAUGUUGAAACGCAACGGUUAUUUUGAGUUUAAAUAUUUUAAAGAAAUGUAUCAAGUUUCUUACGUAGUUGUCUUCCAAUUGCAGAUCCAGCUGCUCGUCCGCGUUAAGGGCUAAUGCACUCGGUCAUGUGAAACAUAGAGCCAAGAUGACCAAUAUACCUAAAUGGAUUCCGUAAAAAUGAGCCAUGUUUUUAAUUAAACCUACUGCGUUUCUUUCUCGAAUGCAGAACGUACUGUGUCCUGCCGUUAACGAUUUACCCCGUUUUUAUAGGCGGAUGGAAGCCAUACAUUUGAUAGCUGUAGCCUAACCAUACCGGUACUACGCAUUAUUCUUGUUAAAUCGAGCCACCAUUUAAUAUUUCAACACGUGUCCUACACGUGAAGCAAAUAGAUGGUUACUUUUUAGAUUUUUUUAUUAUUAUUCCUUUUUGCUUUUGGAAUUUGCGAUGUGGGUGUGCUGCCAAAAGCAUACAGGAUUCCGCUUAUAUGACUAUUUGAAUUAGGAAAUAUGUGGCAGCAGUUGCAAUGCGCAAAUCUUUGCUUUGGAAUAUACUACAUGAACUCAUUGCCGUCAACUCGUGUCGGAACUCACCUAUGCAGCACUUAGCACUCACAUUUGCAGCGAACAACAUGUAUUUACAUUUCAUCGGAAAUGAACCUUCUGUCAUUUGCUUGUAUAGCUGCUCGCUACAUGCUUUCCAUAGCACUUACUGAUUUACACGUCUGCUUUCCUUUUA